rnacentral:rRNA from 1 species
GACGAACGCUGGCGGCGUGCUUAACACAUGCAAGUCGAACGGAAAGGCCCUGCUUUUGUGGGGUGCUCGAGUGGCGAACGGGUGAGUAACACGUGAGUAACCUGCCCUUGACUUUGGGAUAACUUCAGGAAACUGGGGCUAAUACCGGAUAGGAGCUCCUGCUGCAUGGUGGGGGUUGGAAAGUUUCGGCGGUUGGGGAUGGACUCGCGGCUUAUCAGCUUGUUGGUGGGGUAGUGGCUUACCAAGGCUUUGACGGGUAGCCGGCCUGAGAGGGUGACCGGCCACCUUGGGACUGCGAUACGGCCCAGACUCCUACGGGAGGCAGCAGUGGGGAAUAUUGCACAAUGGGCGGAAGCCUGAUGCAGCAACGCCGCGUGCGGGAUGACGGCCUUCGGGUUGUAAACCGCUUUCGCCUGUGACGAAGCGUGAGUGACGGUAAUGGGUAAAGAAGCACCGGCUAACUACGUG